GAUGAAGAACGUAGUGAAAUGCGAUAAGUAAUGUGAAUUGCAGAAUUCAGUGAAUCAUCGAAUCUUUGAACGCACAUUGCGCCCGCCAGUAUUCUGGCGGGCAUGCCUGUUCGAGCGUCAUUUCAACCAUCAAGCCCCAGGCUUGUGUUGGGGACCUGCGGCUGCCGCAGGCCCUGAAAACCAGUGGCGGGCUCGCUGUCACACCGGGCGUAGUAGAUUUUAUCUCGCUCAGGGCGUGCUGCGGGUUCCGGCCGUUAAAAAGCCUUUUUUACCCAAGGUUGACCUCGGAUCAGGUAGGAAGACCCGCUGAACUUAAGCAUAUCAAUCAGCGGAGGA
rnacentral:misc_RNA from 1 species